rnacentral:rRNA from 1 species
UACGGAGGGUGCAAGUGUUAAUCGGAAUUACUGGGCGUAAAGCGUGCGCAGGCGGUUUGUUAAGUCUGUUGUGAAAUCCCCGAGCUCAACUUGGGAAUUGCAAUGGAUACUGGCAGGCUGGAGUAUGGUAGAGGAAGGUGGAAUUCCCGGUGUAGCAGUGAAAUGCGUAGAGAUCGGGAGGAACACCAGUGGCGAAGGCGGCCUUCUGGACCAAUACUGACGCUCAUGCACGAAAGCGUGGGGAGCAAACAGG